rnacentral:rRNA from 1 species
CCGGUAAACGGCGGCCGUAACUAUAACGGUCCUAAGGUAGCGAAAUUCCUUGUCGGGUAAGUUCCGACCUGCACGAAUGGCGUAAUGAUGGCCAGGCUGUCUCCACCCGAGACUCAGUGAAAUUGAACUCGCUGUGAAGAUGCAGUGUACCCGCGGCAAGACGGAAAGACCCCGUGAACCUUUACUAUAGCUUGACACUGAACAUUGAGCCUUGAUGUGUAGGAUAGGUGGGAGGCUUUGAAGUGUGGACGCCAGUCUGCAUGGAGCCGACCUUGAAAUACCACCCUUUAAUGUUUGAUGUUCUAACGUUGACCCGUAAUCCGGGUUGCGGACAGUGUCUGGUGGGUAGUUUGACUGGGGCGGUCUCCUCCUAAAGAGUAACGGAGGAGCACGAAGGUUGGCUAAUCCUGGUCGGACAUCAGGAGGUUAGUGCAAUGGCAUAAGCCAGCUUGACUGCGAGCGUGACGGCGCGAGCAGGUGCGAAAGCAGGUCAUAGUGAUCCGGUGGUUCUGAAUGGAAGGGCCAUCGCUCAACGGAUAAAAGGUACUCCGGGGAUAACAGGCUGAUACCGCCCAAGAGUUCAUAUCGACGGCGGUGUUUGGCACCUCGAUGUCGGCUCAUCACAUCCUGGGGCUGAAGUAGGUCCCAAGGGUAUGGCUGUUCGCCAUUUAAAGUGGUACGCGAGCUGGGUUUAGAACGUCGUGAGACAGUUCGGUCCCUAUCUGCCGUGGGCGCUGGAGAACUGAGGGGGGCUGCUCCUAGUACGAGAGGACCGGAGUGGACGCAUCACUGGUGUUCGGGUUGUCAUGCCAAUGGCACUGCCCGGUAGCUAAAUGCGGAAGAGAUAAGUGCUGAAAGCAUCUAAGCA